rnacentral:rRNA from 1 species
UACGAAGGGGGCUAGCGUUGUUCGGAAUUACUGGGCGGUAAAGCGCGCGCAGGCGGUCUUCCAAGUCAGUGGUGAAAGCCCGGAGCUCAACUCCGGAACUUGCCAUUGAAACUGUGAGACUGGAGUACGAGAGAGGUGAGUGGAAUUCCCAGUGUAGAGGUGAAAUUCGUAGAUAUUGGGAAGAACACCGGUGGCGAAGGCGGCUCACUGGCUCGGUAACUGAACGCUCAUGGCACGACAGCGUGGGGAUCAAACAGG